CCUACGGGGAGCAGCAGUGAGGAAUAUUGGUCAAUGGUCGGGAGACUGAACCAGCCAAGCCGCGUGAGGGAGGAAGGUACAGAGUAUCGUAAACCUCUUUUGUCAGGGAACAAAGACUGGGACGCGUCCCCGGAUGAGUGUACCUGAAGAAAAAGCAUCGGCUAACUCCGUGCCCACAGCCGCGGUAAUACGGAGGAUGCGAGCGUUAUCCGGAUUUAUUGGGUUUAAAGGGUGCGCAGGCGGUCUGUUAAGUCAGCGGUCAAAGCCCGGGGCGAACCCCCGGCCCGCCGUGGAAACUGGCAGUCUCGAGUUGGAGAGAAGUAUGCGGAAUGCGCGGUGUAGCGGUGAAAUGCAUAGAUAUCGCGCAGAACUCCGAUUGCGAAGGCAGCAUGCCGGCUCCACACUGACGCUGAGGCACGAAAGCGUGGGUAUCGAACAGGAUUAGAUACCCGAGUAGUC
rnacentral:rRNA from 1 species